GUUGGAGAAAAAAUGGAGAUAGUGGAUGAUAUAGAAAGUGUGACUGACCGCAUUACUAAAGGUGAAUAUGCUUAUUUCGAUAAUGAAUAUUUCUUGCGGUACUUACGCAUGAAAGGCGCACAGCGCCGCGAGGAGCAACAAAUAGCCG